GAUGAAGAACGUAGCGAAAUGCGAUACGUAAUGUGAAUUGCAAAUUCAGUGAAUCAUCGAGUCUUUGAACGCACAUUGCGCCCCCUGGUAUUCCGGGGGGCAUGCCUGUCCGAGCGUCAUUGCUGCCCUCAAGCACGGCUUGUGUGCUGGGCCCCGUCCUCCGAUCCCGGGGGACGGGCCCGAAAGGCAGCGGCGGCACCGCGUCCGGUCCUCGAGCGUAUGGGGCUUUGUCACCCGCUCUGUAGGCCCGGCCGGCGCUUGCCGAUCAACCCAAAUUUUUAUCCAGGUUGACCUCGGAUCAGGUAGGGAUACCCGCUGAACUUAAGCAUAUCAAUAAGCGGAGGA
rnacentral:misc_RNA from 1 species